GAUUCUGGCUCAGGAUGAACGCUAGCGACAGGCUUAACACAUGCAAGUCGAGGGGCAGCAUAAAAGUAGCAAUACUUGGUGGCGACCGGCGCACGGGUGAGUAACGCGUAUGCAACCUACCUAUCAGAGGGGAAUAACCCGGCGAAAGUCGGACUAAUACCGCAUAAAACAGGGACACCGCAUGGUGAUAUUUGUUAAAGAAAUUCGCUGAUAGAUGGGCAUGCGUUCCAUUAGGUAGUUGGUGAGGUAACGGCUCACCAAGCCGACGAUGGAUAGGGAACUGAGAGGUUGGUCCCCCACACUGGUACUGAGACACGGACCAGACUCCUACGGGAGGCAGCAGUGAGGAAUAUUGGUCAAUGGGCGAAAGCCUGAACCAGCCAAGUCGCGUGAAGGAAGAAGGAUCUAUGGUUCGUAAACUUCUUUUGCAGGGGAAUAAAGUGCAGGACGUGUCCUGUUUUGUAUGUACCCUGAGAAUAAGGAUCGGCUAACUCCGUGCCAGCCGCCGC
rnacentral:rRNA from 1 species